rnacentral:rRNA from 1 species
CAUCUUUUCUUGUUAGUUUUUGAAGUAUGGCCUGCCCACUGACUUAGAGUUGAAGGGCCGCGGUAUUUUGACCGUGCAAAGGUAGCAUAAUCAUUAGUUCUUUAAUUGUGAUCUGGUAUGAAUGGCUUGACGAGACAUAAGCUGUCUUAGAAGUAUUGAUUUAUUGAAUUUGGUUUUUGAGUUAAAAUUCUUAAAUGUUUUUAUGGGACGAGAAGACCCUAUAGAGUUUGACAAUUUUCCUAUUUAUUCGUUGUUUGUGUUUAUUUACAUUGAGUGGGAGUGAAUUGUUUUGUUGGGGUGAUGGGAGGAAUAUUGUUUAACUCCUCUUUAUUUUUAUAUAUUUAUGUAUAUAUUUUUGAUCCAUUUAUUUUGAUUAUAAGAUUAAAUUACCUUA